UACGAAGGGGGCUAGCGUUGCUCGGAAUGACUGGGCGUAAAGGGCGCGUAGGCGGUUCGUACAGUCAGGCGUGAAAUUCCCGGGCUUAACCUGGGGGCUGCGUUUGAUACGUGCGGGCUUGAGUUCGGAAGAGGGUCGUGGAAGUUCCCAGUGUAGAGGUGAAAUUCGUAGAUAUUGGGAAGAACACCGGUGGCGAAGGCGGCGACCUGGUCCGUUACUGACGCUCAGGCGCGACAGCGUGGGGAUCAAACAGGAGUUAGAAAACCCCGGGUAAGUCC
rnacentral:rRNA from 1 species